GGGUAUCGCCAAGCGGUAAGGCACCGGAUUCUGAUUCCGGCAUUCCGAGGUUCGAAUCCCGUCGUA
rnacentral:tRNA from 1 species